AAAGUCGUAACAAGGUCUCCGUUGGUGAACCAGCGGAGGGAUCAUUACAAGAAGCCGAAAGGCUACUUCAAACCAUCGCGAACUCGUCCAAGUUGCUUCGGCGCCGCUGUACGUUGACCCGGGGGUUCCGCGGCGCCGCGCCUCCCCGGAGGUGCGGGGCGCCCACCGGAGGUCAGAAACUCUUAUGUAUUAUAGUGGCAUCUCUGAGUAAAACACAAAUAAGUUAAAACUUUCAACAACGGAUCUCUUGGUUCUG
rnacentral:misc_RNA from 1 species